UGCUACUUUGCUGACGAGCGGCGGACGGGUGAGUAAUGCCUAGGAAUCUGCCUAGUAGUGGGGGAUAACGUUCGGAAACGGACGCUAAUACCGCAUACGUCCUACGGGAGAAAGUGGGGGACCUUCGGGCCUCACGCUAUUAGAUGAGCCUAGGUCGGAUUAGCUAGUUGGUGAGGUAAUGGCUCA
rnacentral:rRNA from 1 species